GAAGAUAAAGGAAACAAAGUUUUUAAUUGUGGAAUCAGAAAAUCAGAAAUACAAUCGGGAAAUCAACCGUCACCUGGAUCUAACAAGUGUCACCCCCUAAACUCCCAGCACAGGAUACUCUCACGAUAAAACUUAAAUAUAAUUUCUACAUUCCUAGCAGCACGGGACUUUAUGAGUAAUUUCACUACAUGGUAACAGGACACAGAGACUGACACCUUCGGUUCUGUUGGCAUAGCUGUGAAGUUCUUCCUCUGAAACAAGAAAAUAUGGAUUCCUCAUGAAGUCUAUUAGUCAUUUCCAUAAGGCAUGAUCA